AGCAGGCGCGCAAAUUACCCAAUCCUGAUACAGGGAGGUAGUGACAAUAAAUAACAAUACAGAACUUUCGAGUUUUGUAAUUGGAAUGAGAACAAUUUAGAUCCCUUAACGAGGAACAAUUGGAGGGCAAGUCUGGUGCCAGCAGCCGCGGUAAUUCCAGCUCCAAUAGCGUAUAUUCAAGUUGUUGCAGUUAAAAAGCUCGUAGUUGAAUUUUGGCGCUGGUUGUGUGGUUUGGACUCGCGUUCAAUACUGCAGGACUGGCGCUUUCCUUCUAGGGAACUAGCGUGCCAUUAAUUUGGUGGGCUAGGGAUCUAGGACUGUUACUUUGAAAAAAUUAGAGUGUUUAAAACGGGCUUAUGCUUGAAUACAUUAGCAUGGAAUAACGGAAUAGGACUUUGUCUUAUUUUGUUGGUUUAGGAGACAAAGUAAUGAUUAAUAGGGACGGUUAGGGGCAUUAGUAUUCCACAGUCAGAGGUGAAAUUCUUGGAUUUGUGGAAGACUAACUUCUGCGAAAGCAUUUGCCAGGCACGCUUUCAUUAAUCAGGAACGAAAGUUAGGGGAUCGAAGACGAUCAGAUACCGUCGUAGUCUUAACAGUAAACGAUGCCGAUUCAGGAUCCUAGGGUGUUAUAUUAUUGACCUCUAGGGCACUGUAUGAGAAAUCAAAAUUUUUGGGUUCCGGGGGGAGUAUGGUCGCAAGGCUGAAACUUAAAGGAAUUGACGGAAGGGCACCACCAGGAGUGGAGCCUGCGGCUUAAUUUGACUCAACACGGGGAAACUCACCAGGUCCAGACAUAAGUAGGAUUGACAGAUUGAUAGCUCUUUCUUGAUUUUAUGGGUGGUGGUGCAUGGCCGUUCUUAGUUGGUGGAGUGAUUUGUCUGGUUAAUUCCGUUAACGAACGAGACCUUAACCUGCUAAAUAGUUGUGCCAACUUUGGUUGGCAUCGACUUCUUAGAGGGACUAUGGAUAUUUAAUCCAUGGAAGU
rnacentral:rRNA from 1 species